rnacentral:rRNA from 1 species
CAGCCGCCACGGUAAUACGAAGGGUGCAAGCGUUACUCGGAAUUACUGGGCGUAAAGCGUGCGUAGGUGGUGGUUUAAGUCCGUUGUGAAAGCCCUGGGCUCAACCUGGGAAUUGCAGUGGAUACUGGGUCACUAGAGUGUGGUAAAGGAUAGUGGAAUUUCCGGUGUAGCAGUGAAAUGCGUAGAGAUCGGAAGGAACAUCUGUGGCGAAGGCGACUAUCUGGGCCAACACUGACACUGAGGCACGAAAGCGUGGGGAGCAAACAGGAUUAGAUACCCCUGUAGUCCCUGUCUCUUAUAC